rnacentral:tRNA from 1 species
GCCUAGUUAGUAGUUGGUAGUGCGUCUGCCUUGUAAGCGCUAGGCCGCGGGUUCGAUUCCCGCCCGGGGCG